rnacentral:rRNA from 1 species
AACGAACGCUGGCGGCAGGCCUAACCCAUGCAAGUCGAACGCUCCGCAAGGGGAGUGGCGCACGGGUGAGUAACACGUGGGAACCUACCUUCUGGUACGGAACAACCAAGGGAAACUUUGGCUAAGACCGUAUACGACCUCCGGGUGAAAGAUUGAUCGCCGGAAGAGGGGCCCGCGUCCGAUUAGGUAGUUGUAGGUAAUGGCCUACCAAGGCGACGAUCGGUAGCUGGUCUGAGAGGACGACCAGCCACACNGGGACUGAGACACGGCCCAGACUCCUACGGGAGGCAGCAGUGGGGAAUAUUGGACAAUGGGCGCAAGCCUGAUCCAGCGAUGCCGCGUGUGUGAAGAAGGCCUGCGGGUUGUAAAGCAC